GAACAUCAUUUACAGUGAGAUCAAAUACAUUUUAAUGUUGACAUGAGUUAGUCGUCCUUUUGAUUUUAAAUUAAACAAUUUUGCUUCAAGAAUAUUUGUUUACUGAUGGUUAUUUUUUAAUGGUCAAGCAAAGAAUGCAAGAUGUAUUUUAAUAAUUUCAACUCAGUAGCAUAGUAAAUAAUACAAUUUAAUGCAGAAGCUUCAUUGUAAUUAUGGUCUUUGAAUAUUUCGUCAUCUCGCCUAGAAUCUUCAUCAAUAAGUACAUCAACUUUAAGUUUCAAAUUCGAAAGCUUUUGAUGCCUUAUAGUCGAUCCUGGAUGAAAUAUUUCUUAGUUCAGACAAUGCUAUUUUAGGGGAAUCACUAACAAGAAUAUUGAAAUUGCUCGACUUGGUAGUGCGUUGCACAGAACAUAUAGAUAAUAUUUGAUAAAUGUGUAAAUAAGUAGGCAUGGUAUUUAUGAAGUG